UUAUAAUUGUGUAUUACACCUGUUGGCCGGUUUAUCUGAUUUUCUUUUUAAUAUAAAAGUUUCUUUCAAACAGCUCUGAACUACGUGCCUGAUAAUGUAGAAGGCAGGAGACAGCGGAUAGCUCAUUUUUUAGAAGAACAUAAUUUAUUUGACGGAGAACAACCAGCGCAUGAUGCUAUUAACUGCGUCUCCUAUGCUCCCGUGUUGAUCGAUGAUGCCACCGAAGUGAUACCGCAGGGUUGCAGAACUGGAGCUCUGAGGAAUAACAGGCCUUACCCUGAGGCUGAAGGUGCCUAUAACCGUGUUUAUUUAACACUUGUAUAUUAAAUUAUGUUGUAUGUUUUAUUCACAUGUUUAUGCUGUCUUUAAUUUGUAUCACAGCUGUGACGGUGCACCCUUCCCCCUGUGAUGUUAUUGUUAUCGAUGAUUCACGAGAGAGGUGUGUAUUUGUAGGUUAUUUUAGAGAUUAAGAUGUCAAAUCUGACCAGUGAUGACAUGUAUAGCCGCAUGUCAUCAUUCCGCAGCUGGUUGUCGAGGUAGU